UAUAGCUAAGAUGGCGGACGAAGAUCGAAAGCGACUGUCGUCCAAAACUUCUUCAUAUCAAUCACAGGAAGUAUGGAAGCUUUAUGACUGCAUCUUGAUUAAGAAACCACCUGGAUCUGUCCUAAAUGCCAACUCUGUAGAGAUUCCUGAACUGAAGUUAUUAUGGGAGCUGACUGGAGAUUCAUCAGAAAUUUUAAGCAGAUUGUGUUGUAAUUGCUUGGUAGAACUAGUUGUUGAUAAUCAUGCUGAAUUGGAAUACAUCUUGAGAGGAGUAUUAAGUGUUGCUCCAUCUGCAAGAAAUCUGGUCGGUAUAACAAAAGCCUUGAGUUGUUUGCUCACCUUUCAAGUUUAUAAAUGUACUACAGCUGGUAUGGAUUAUUUCUGCCCUUUUUCCUUGAGGGCCUCUCCCCACCCAUUUAUUACACUACUGAUAAGUCGUCCUGAAGGUGCAACAAUCCUGAUCCAAGAAGUCAAUGUGUUACUUGUAAACAGUGUUAAAAGAUAUCUCAACUGUGAUCCUCAAUUUAUUCUUCGGAUGCUGGAAUCAUUUUUCAAGUUUGUUCUUUUGGAUCCAAAUGUCACGGUUAAUUGGUUUACUAGGCAGCAAUUUUUAACAACUCUCUUGCAAACAGCCAGUGUUAUACUGCAGUGUACAGAAAAAAAUCACAAUCAUGAGGAAGUUGCUGAAAGAAAAAAGCUUGUUGAGGAUAUUGUUGAUUUAUUGGCAUCUCUUGUUCCCUGCUUCCAGAUUGAUGGCAAAUCUCUCAGUCAUACAACUUUUCUUGUUCACAGUCUGACAUACUGGUUACUAGAACAUAGCAAUUUUUUCCCUGGUGGUAAGAGCCAUUUGGAGCUGAUGGUGAAUCAUUUGUUUUCUUUGUGUUGUGAGAGUCUGUCUUUUGGGUCUGAUAUGACAACAUCCAUCCUCUUAUUACAAACAUUUCAACUGCAUUGCCCACAGGCCUUCUUGCAAUUAUAUAUCUUACCAACCUUGAGCAAGCUUCUUCUGAAUUCAGCAGAAGACUGCUGCAUUCAUAUUCUCCAGCUCUGUUUGUCAACAAUGCAAAGUCAAUUAAAACAUUUCAAGCCAGAGUGUCUGUUUCUUCCUAUCAGUCAUCUGUUUCUUGUGCAACCAAUACUUCAAAUUAUAACAUCCCCACCCAGGCAGACAUUCAGCACAAAGAUGCAGGGCAGCACUGGGCAGUCUUUACACAGUAAAGCUCUCCAGAUCCUAGGAUUUGUGGAACACAAUGUUCUUCCCCUUAUAAAGCAAAACCAAACUACCAGUAAGGCUACUGGAAAUACUCAGCACUAUUCUUCAUCUCUCAGUUUAUGUAUCAGACAAAUGACAGCCUGUGCUGAAGAAAUGAUCACCUUAAUUGGAAACACCAAAUCUACAAAGCAAUGGCUGAGCAAUUUACAGAACUCAGUAGCCUCACACUAUCGCCUGCUGAGUCAUGUUCCUUUAAUGUUGUCUGCACUGUUGGUGACUUCACAAGGAUGUCUUGCUAUGGAGGUCUUGGAAGUCAUUCCAAUUCUUGCUAAGGCAGAUCCAUCCCAGGCUCUUACCUUCCUGCCAUUACUACUCUACAAACUUAGUAAAGAAGUCGAUCCUGAAGUGAAACAGCAUGCUCUGUACACAAUACCACAACUUGCUUCUCAUAAGUUUUGUAUAGGCCCCGUGUUACAUACGAUUCAGACGAUAGGAAAGUGCCCUCCUCUUAAACCUGUGUAUCUGAGACUGAUUUGCAAGUUGUGGCAGUUAAAUAACCGAGUGUUCCCGCACCUUCAGCAAGCACUGAAUGUAGUAAUUGACUCCAGUUUGGGAGGUAAAUUGAACUUGGAGAUUAAGAUUGCUCAAGCAGCUUGUUUAUUGGACAUCUGCAAGCUUAGACCCUCUCAGCACGGUGCAGAUCUACUCAGUUUGCUGUCCAAAUUGCUGGAUGAGAAUACAAGACCAGGCGAGACUGAAAACACUCCCUCUGCGUUAGUGGUAUCACUAGCACUGCAAGCCCUGGAGCAGCUUUGUAAAGCUGAGGUUGUGGAUCUGUGCACCGGGUGGAAAGUUCUUUCUGUGAAGCUUGGCGUGGACAGACGUCCCCAAGUUCUGUGCAGUAUAUGUCAGUUGUUCAGCAUCGUCCCCCACCUGGUCUCUAACUCUUCAGCUUAUCUGAAUUUUAAGAAUGAAGCACUUUCCUUUCUUUGGUCGCUAACGCAACAUAAGGAGUCACCUGUCGCUCAUGCUGCUUUCACGACUUUGUCGAAAUUUCAUCCAUCAGAUUUCAAGCUCAUUCAUCUUCCUUCAAAGAUCCACCUUCCACUGAAAGAAAAAAUUCUGGCGUCUAAGAAACUUGAUAGCAACGCGGACGAAGAAGAUGGUGAUGUCGCUGUUCAACAAAACAUUGAUAACUCAACACCCCCAGGGAAUGCUUAUGUUGAGCUUCUACAGAUGGUCAAACAAGAUGUACUCCCAGGCUAUAAGAAGUUAAUGACAAACAUGAUCAGCUUGGAAGUUGCAUCUAUGCCACGGGGCCUGGGUCACACUGUUUUACAUGCUUCGUCGUCACACGAGAGGAAUUUGCAAUCCAUACCAAAAUUUUUGAUGUCACACUAUGAGAAGUCGAAAUCACCUGGAUUAAACCAAGGACUUGCAGCUGGAAUACUGUUUAGUUUCGAACCUCCCUUCGAACAACACGAAGGAAAACGUGCCAGAAGAUACACGGUUGAUUGUGCCCGUACAUACAGACAGAUGUUAGAUUCAUUACUUUACGAAGUCCCAGUGCAGCCAACUGAAUGGCACAGAACAUUACUACUGCCUCAGGCAUGGUUAGCCUUUAUGAAUCGCUCCUACAAGGCUUGUGUGGAGGGUCGUAAGGCUGAGCUUGAGAUGCAGCAUAGCCAUGGUCAUUUUCAGAGUAUGGAAGAACUAAAAACAAGACAGUCCAAUUGCUGGCUUUGGGUAAGAGAUCAGAUCACUGAACGACUUAAAGCGGCGUCAAGAGGUAACCCGUCUGUGCAAGGUAACUCAGUGCUUGCUUUAGCAGGGCUUGCACGGGCUGUGUCGAUAUAUGUAGGUCAGCAGACUUCUUCAGAGACCACAGAACAAUAUCAGCGGAACAACGAUUGGCUGAGCGUGGUGACUGACACAGUAAUGGUGGUGUUGGAUGGUAAUUAUAAACCGAAGGGUCCUACUCUGGUUUGGUGUCAACAGGUGUCUUCACCCACCUCCACUGCCAGUUCGUUGUUAGCUCGCUCGUGUGCUGCGCUGUCCAUGUCACUUUUGGUUCCUUGUCUUGUCAUACUUGACUCUGAUAGAAUUUACGACAUCACUGAGCUGCUGAAGCAAAGGAUUCCAGGACAAUCCAAAUCCGGUAGCUCAGCUGUUUUACAGAUGUCUUGUUCUGUGGGACUUGGUCUGUUCCUCAGCAAACUCUAUGAAGAACAUUUCAGCGACGCUUACGGUAAAGAGGGCUAUUUACUGUUGUCUACAGCUUUAGAUGUUUUGGAGGAGACUGCUUUUUCAAAUGACCUGGAUAACACGGAAGGCGCGUGUCUCGGUGUUGGACUCGCUGCAUCCUCUUUGUGUAAGGAAGGUCUUAUUGACUCCAGGGUUCACGUCACAAAUCUUUAUCACAAACUUGUUGACAGUGUGAACGAGCAGUGCGAUGACCCUGAUCAAAAACUUCAGUGCCUAUCUUAUAGUGUAGCGUGUGUCUGUGUAAACGCGUUCCACACGAGCCUGUUGUCUGCUGAUCAAGCUUUGCAGUGCGUCGACACAAUUCAAAAGUUGUCAGGCAAAUACCUUGAGGUUUGCGGUAUUUCUUUAUCGCUCGGGUUGCUUCUUCAUGGACUUGUGUCAUGUGGUCAUGGUGGAGCCAUUGAGUUGGCCAGAGAAAUUGGCAAGGACUGGCGAAGUGUUCUUGAAAAUAAGGAUGUUUCUGAGCGACGGCAACUGUCGGCUGUGAACGGAAUCGUAGCACUACUUGGGUCUGAGCAGGGGUUGUUUACCGUGGAUUCUUCUACUUCUGACGUCGUAUUUCCUUCUCAAAGUGGGGGAAGCAUCAUUAAAUUUCUCCAAAAGAAGAUGUUGGUCUUAGUUUUAAUACUGCCUGGCUUCUUGGUCAUCUGUACAGUGCACUCACUUCUAGCUCAGUCAGUGAUACAAGUGUUCCAAUAAACUACAGCUACUUGUCAGAGAGGAGUAUUUUGCGACUGCUCUUUGAAUUUCUUAACCAGUCUGGGAAGAUAGGUCCUCAUUCGAGUUUCGG
rnacentral:misc_RNA from 1 species